GAGGAAAAGAAACCAACAGGGAUUGCCUUAGUAACGGCGAGUGAAGCGGCAAAAGCUCAAAUUUGAAAUCUGGCACCUUCGGUGUCCGAGUUGUAAUUUGAAGAAGGUAACUUUGGGAUUGGCUCUUGUCUAAGUUCCUUGGAACAGGACGUCACAGAGGGUGAGAAUCCCGUGCGAUGAGAUGACCAAUCCUAUGUAAAGUGCUUUCGAAGAGUCGAGUUGUUUGGGAAUGCAGCUCUAAGUGGGUGGUAAAUUCCAUCUAAAGCUAAAUAUUGGCGAGAGACCGAUAGCGAACAAGUACAGUGAUGGAAAGAUGAAAAGAACUUUGAAAAGAGAGUGAAAAAGUACGUGAAAUUGUUGAAAGGGAAGGGCUUGAGAUCAGACUUGGUAUUUUGCAUUCCUUACCUUCGUGGUGGGGUUCCUUGCAGUUUACUGGGCCAGCAUCGGUUUGGAUGGUGGGAUAAUGACAUUGGAAUGUGGCUCUGCUUCGGUAGAGUGUUAUAGCCAGUGUUGAUACCGCCUGUCUAGACCGAGGACUGCGUCUUUGACUAGGAUGCUGGC
rnacentral:rRNA from 1 species